rfam:Nitrincola sp. A-D6 Contig67, whole genome shotgun sequence.
GGUCAAGUGAAUAAGCGUGCACGGUGGAUGCUUGGCAGUCUCAGGCGAUGAAGGACGUUGUAGCCUGCGAAAAGGUACGGGGAGCUGGCAAACGAGCUUUGAUCCGUACAUGUCCGAAUGGGGAAACCCACCUAAUUUAUUAGGUAUCUCUUGUCUGAAUACAUAGGACUUGAGAGGCGAACCCGGGGAACUGAAACAUCUAAGUACCCGGAGGAAAAGAAAUCAACCGAGAUUCCCUAAGUAGCGGCGAGCGAACGGGGAGCAGCCCUUAAGCUGCGUUAUGGUUAAAAGAACGCUCUGGAAAGUGCGACCGUAGAGGGUGAAAGUCCCGUAUUUGAAAACCUAAACGUAGUGAAAACGAGUAAGGCGGGACACGUGAUAUCCUGUCUGAAGAUGGGGGGACCAUCCUCCAAGGCUAAAUACUCCUGACUGACCGAUAGUGAACCAGUACCGUGAGGGAAAGGCGAAAAGAACCCCUGUGAGGGGAGUGAAAUAGACCCUGAAACCGUGUACGUACAAGCAGUGGGAGCCGUUUUAAUACGGUGACUGCGUACCUUUUGUAUAAUGGGUCAGCGACUUACUUUCAGUGGCAAGCUUAACCGAAUAGGGGAGGCGUAGGGAAACCGAGUCUUAAUAGGGCGUUUAGUCGCUGGGAGUAGACCCGAAACCGGGCGAUCUAUCCAUGGGCAGGUUGAAGGUUGAGUAACAUCAACUGGAGGACCGAACCGACUACCGUUGAAAAGUUAGCGGAUGACCUGUGGAUCGGAGUGAAAGGCUAAUCAAGCCCGGAGAUAGCUGGUUCUCCUCGAAAGCUAUUUAGGUAGCGCCUCAUGUCUCACUCUGGGGGGUAGAGCACUGUUUCGGCUAGGGGGUCAUCCCGACUUACCAACCCGAUGCAAACUCCGAAUACCCAGAAGUGCAAUCAUGGGAGACACACGGCGGGUGCUAACGUCCGUCGUGAAAAGGGAAACAACCCAGACCGCCAGCUAAGGUCCCAAAAUCUAAGUUAAGUGGGAAACGAUGUGGGAAGGCUCAGACAGCUAGGAGGUUGGCUUAGAAGCAGCCACCCUUUAAAGAAAGCGUAAUAGCUCACUAGUCGAGUCGGCCUGCGCGGAAGAUUUAACGGGGCUCAAACUUAGUACCGAAGCUGCGGAUGCGUGCAUUUUCGAAUGUGCGCAUGGUAGAGGAGCGUUGUGUAAGCCGUUGAAGCGAAAGCCGGGAGGCAUCGUGGAGGUAUCACAAGUGCGAAUGCUGACAUAAGUAACGAUAAGACGAGUGAAAAACUCGUCCGCCGGAAGACCAAGGUUUCC